CAGUAGCCGCGGGAAAACGUAGGGGGCAAGCGUUAUCCGGAAUUACUGGGUGUAAAGGGAGCGUAGACGGUUAAACAAGUUUGAAGUGAAAUGCCGGGGCUCAACCCCGGAGCUGCUUUGGGAACUGUAGAACUGGAGUGUCGGAGGGGUAAGCGGAAUUCCCAGUGCAGCGGUGAAAUGCGUAGAUAUUGGGAGGAACACCGGCGGCGAAGGCGGCUUACUGGACGACAACUGACGUUGAGGCUCGAAGGCGUGGGUAGCAAACAGGAUUAGAUACCCCAGUAGUCCCUGUCUCUUAUAC
rnacentral:rRNA from 1 species